AUGUGUGGCUCAGCGGUUCAGAGCACUCUCUGCUCUUCCAAAGGACCUGGGUUCAAUUCCCAGCACCCAUA
rfam:Neotoma lepida isolate 417 scaffold_20871, whole genome shotgun sequence.